UGGGGAAUAUUGCACAAUGGGCGCAAGCCUGAUGCAGCCAUGCCGCGUGUGUGAAGAAGGCCUUCGGGUUGUAAAGCACUUUCAGCGAGGAGGAAGGUGGUGAGCUUAAUACGCUCAUCAAUUGACGUUACUCGCAGAAGAAGCACCGGCUAACUCCGUGCCAGCAGCCGCGGUAAUACGGAGGGUGCAAGCGUUAAUCGGAAUUACUGGGCGUAAAGCGCACGCAGGCGGUUUGUUAAGUCAGAUGUGAAAUCCCCGGGCUCAACCUGGGAACUGCAUUUGAAACUGGCAAGCUAGAGUCUCGUAGAGGGGGUAGAAUUCCAGGUGUAGCGGUGAAAUGCGUAGAGAUCUGGAGGAAUACCGGUGGCGAAGGCGGCCCCCUGGACGAAGACUGACGCUCAGGUGCGAAAGCGU
rnacentral:rRNA from 1 species